AUACGUAGGGUGCAAGCGUUAAUCGGAAUUACUGGGCGUAAAGCGUGCGCAGGCGGUUUUGUAAGACAGUGGUGAAAUCCCCGGGCUCAACCUGGGAACUGCCAUUGUGACUGCAAGGCUGGAGUGCGGCAGAGGGGGAUGGAAUUCCGCGUGUAGCAGUGAAAUGCGUAGAUAUGCGGAGGAACACCGAUGGCGAAGGCAAUCCCCUGGGCAUGCACUGACGCUCAUGCACGAAAGCGUGGGGAGCAAACAGGAUUAGAUACCCUGGUAGUCCACGCCCUAAACGAUGUCAACUGGUUGUUGGGUCUUCAUUGACUCAGUAACGAAGCUAACGCGUGAAGUUGACCGCCUGGGGAGUACGGCCGCAAGGUUGAAACUCAAAUGAAUUGACGGGG
rnacentral:rRNA from 1 species